UGGGAACCUGCCCAGUGGUAGGGGAUAACUGCGGGAAACUGCAGCUAAUACCCUAUGUGUCCUAUGGGAGAAAGAUUUAUCGCCAUUGGAGGGGCCCGCGUCGGAUUAGGUAGUUGGUGGGGUAAUGGCCCACCAAGCCUGCGAUCCGUAGCUGGUCUGAGAGGAUGAUCAGCCACACUGGGACUGAGACACGGCCCAGACUCCUACGGAAGGCUG
rnacentral:rRNA from 1 species